rnacentral:rRNA from 1 species
GACGAACGCUGGCGGCGUGCUUAACACAUGCAAGUCGAACGGAAAGGCCCUGCUUUUGUGGGGUGCUCGAGUGGCGAACGGGUGAGUAACACGUGAGUAACCUGCCCUUGACUUUGGGAUAACUUCAGGAAACUGGGGCUAAUACCGGAUAGGAGCUACUGCUGCAGGGUGGGGGUUGGAAAGUUUCGGCGGUUGGGGAUGGACUCGCGGCUUAUCAGCUUGUUGGUUGGGUAGUGGCUUACCAAGGCUUUGACGGGUAGCCGGCCUGAGAGGGUGACCGGCCACAUUGGGACUGAGAUACGGCCCAGACUCCUACGGGAGGCAGCAGUGGGGAAUAUUGCACAAUGGGCGGAAGCCUGAUGCAGCAACGCCGCGUGCGGGAUGACGGCCUUCGGGUUGUAAACCGCUGUCGCCUGUGACGAAGCGUGAGUGACGGUAAUGGGUAAAGAAGCACCGGCUAACUACGUG